rnacentral:tRNA from 1 species
CCUUAGCUCAGUUGGUAGAGCAAUGGACUGAAAAUCCAUGUGUCCCUGGUUCGAUUCCUGGAGGCACCA